UACGUAGGUGGCAAGCGUUGUCCGGAAUUACUGGGCGUAAAGGGCGUGUAGGCGGCCUUUUAAGUCAGGCGUGAAAUCCAUGGGCUUAACCCAUGAAUUGCGUUUGAAACUGGAAGGCUUGAGGACCGGAGAGGGUAGUGGAAUUCCCAGUGUAGCGGUGAAAUGCGUAGAUAUUGGGAGGAACACCAGUGGCGAAGGCGACUGCCUGGACGGCACCUGACGCUGAGGCGCGAAAGCUAGGGGAGCAAACGGG
rnacentral:rRNA from 1 species